UCUCGCUUCUGCAUGAAAUCUUUUGCUGAUAUUCGUUGUUUUUUUCGAACAUCGACUGGAUACCAAUAAAUCAUUGGGAUGGUAAUAUAUUCAGAUAAAAUAGGCUUUUGGCAUAUUUUCAACACUUUUUUGACCUCCUCGGUACUACGCAGGUGUGGCUUACCAACAGCACAAGCCUGUACGGCAGUGACUGGAGACGUACCUAGCUUCAGCUAAUUAGCAGCAAGAUGCUGCACUUCUCCACGGACGACUAAGAAAAACCUCUACAGAAAAUUGCAGUGCUGGAAACCAAAAUCCACCGGUUACAAGUGAUCUGGGAAAUUAAUAGACAACGAGGGAACGACAGUACUUUAACAUGUACUCAAAACAGUGGUAUCAUCCAGAGGGCCUUUUCAGUCUUUUUCUUAGUAGGACACAGCUAUGGACAGCUGCAAAAGGGAGAGAUAGCACAAAACCUCCACAACAACCAGGUGUACAGCAGAACCAAUCUCUCUGAUGUUAUAACAGCGCCGCUAGAGCUUGCAACAACAACAACAACAAGUUUUGUUUGCUUGAGCGGCAGAGACACAGAGUCUGCCAGCUAACUUUAACCAGAGCCCUUUAAAGAGAGAGUCGCGUCAUCUCCGUUCACUCCAAUGGACCAGUUUUUCACAGCAAUGGCGGAUCAUGGAGCGUGUGAAUAGUUCCCGGAAGUUAGCAUCAAAUGCUAGGAUCAAGUGCUAGCAUCGCAGCAGAACUGCAAUAGAAAAUGCUUUUGGGAAGCACAAGUAUCACAGGGGGUUCAGUGGAGCCUGAAGAUUAUCUGCAGUGAUGUUUUUAAUAAACCAAACAUUAAGCCAGUGA